UAAACAAAUAUUUUUUAACUACCGAUCAAAAACUGGGUGCUCUAAGAUUACAGGCAUUGUCAUCACGUAUACCAUAACAGUUAUCCAAUUCCAAAAAACUAUCUAGAUUAGGUAUUACAAUGUAGUCUAUUCGAGAAAGGCCCAAACAAUGACAGAAAAUCAACAUUACCUAUAGCUUAUGAGAUGCACGUUUUUAUGAAUCUUCUGAUUGUCUGUGUUAAAAAUUCACGGCUAAACCAAAGCACGGAUUUGAAUGGAACCUAUGAAAGAUAUUGAAGAUCCAGAUUAAAAAUAGGACAAUAAAAAAAUCAACUCCUAGAAGGUUGAAAUAGUGCCCUAACUUAAUGUGGGUUAAAUCUUGUAGUACAGCUAGUCAUAUAAUAUGUAUUGAUGUUCGAUUUAAGGCUAGUUUUCAAAUGGUUUAUGAUUAGAAUUUUGCUAUUUUCUCAGCACUCGUGUUAAAUUUAAUAAGGAUCUCGUACAUAAGCUUUUCUUACAAGAUUAUCAAUAUACCUAACUAGGUAGGAUUUUUAACUAAAAAUCCUUGGA